GUCGUUGUAGUAUAGUGGUGAGUAUCCCCGCUUGUCACGCGGGGACCCGGGUUCGAUCCCUGCAACGGCG
rnacentral:tRNA from 1 species